rnacentral:rRNA from 1 species
CAAUAGCGUAUAUUAAAGUUGUUGCGGUUAAAAAGCUCGUAGUUGGAUUUCUGCUGAGGACGACCGGUCCGCCCUCUGGGUGAGUAUCUGGCUCGGCCUUGGCAUCUUCUUGGAGAACGUUGCUGCACUUGACUGUGUGGCGCGGUAUCCAGGACAUUUACUUUGAGGAAAUUAGAGUGUUUCAAGCAGGCAUACGCCUUGAAUACAUUAGCAUGGAAUAAUAAGAUAGGACCUCGGUUCUAUUUUGUUGGUUUCUAGAGCUGAGGUAAUGAUUAAUAGGGAUAGUUGGGGGCAUUCGUAUUUAACUGUCAGAGGUGAAAUUCUUGGAUUUGUUAAAGACGGACUACUGCGAANGNAUUUGCNAAGGAUGUUUNCAUUG